rnacentral:rRNA from 1 species
CAGGAUUAGAUACCCUGGUAGUCCACGCUGUAAACGAUGUCGACUUGGAGGUUGUGCCCUUGAGGUGUGGCUUCCGGAGCUAACGCGUUAAGUCGACCGCCUGGGGAGUACGGCCGCAAGGUUAAAACUCAAAUGAAUUGACGGGGGCCCGCACAAGCGGUGGAGCAUGUGGUUUAAUUCGAUGCAACGCGAAGAACCUUACCUGGUCUUGACAUCCACGGAAGUUUUCAGAGAUGAGAAUGUGCCUUCGGGAACCGUGAGACAGGUGCUGCAUGGCUGUCGUCAGCUCGUGUUGUGAAAUGUUGGGUUAAGUCCCGCAACGAGCGCAACCCUUAUCCUUUGUUGCCAGCGGUCCGGCCGGGAACUCAAAGGAGACUGCCAGUGAUAAACUGGAGGAAGGUGGGGAUGACGUCAAGUCAUCAUGGCCCUUACGACCAGGGCUACACACGUGCUACAAUGGCGCAUACAAAGAGAAGCGACCUCGCGAGAGCAAGCGGACCUCAUAAAGUGCGUCGUAGUCCGGAUUGGAGUCUGCAACUCGACUCCAUGAAGUCGGAAUCGCUAGUAAUCGUGGAUCAGAAUGCCACGGUGAAUACGUUCCCGGGCCUUGUACACACCGCCCGUCACACCAUGGGAGUGGGUUGCAAAAGAAGUAGGUAGCUUAACCUUCGGGAGGGCGCUUACCACUUUGUGAUUCAUGACUGGGGUGAAGUCGUAACAAGGUAACCGUAGGGGAACCUGCGGUUGGAUCACCUCCUUACCUUAAAGAAGC